rnacentral:lncRNA from 1 species
GUUGCUACACAGACUUGAUGUAUAUUAAAUCCUCCUCUGCCUCCAAGCAUGCAAAGAUGUUAGCAGAUACUACGCAGGUUUUCCAUCAAGGUUUCAAUAAAAUCCUAUUGCUAUCAAACCUAGUCUAGGUGCCUGAUAGUAACUUUUCCACAUAUGUUGACCAGGCUGGUCUCAAACUUCUGAUCUCAAGUGAUCCAUCUGCCUCAGCCUCCCAAAGUGCUGGGAUUAUGGGUGUGAGCCACCAUGCCCAGCCUAAGAACAGGUAUUUAUUUUCUCAAAUUCUGGAGUCUGGAAGUCCAAGAUCAAGGUGCUGGCAGGGUUGGUUUCUUCUGAGGCCUCUCUCCUCCGCUUGCAGGUGGCUGCCUUCUCCUGGUGUCUUCACGUGGCCUUCCCUCUGAGGAUGUUGGGGUACAAAUUUCCCCUUCUUGUAAGAACCCCAGUCCUACUGGAUUAGGGCCCAACCUAAUGACCUCAUUGAACCAUAAUUACCUCUUUAAAGACCCUAACUCCAAAUACUACCUUCUGGAGAUUAAGAUUUCCACAUAUGAAUUUUAGAGGGAACACAAUUCAGCCAUAACAAAGGCUAAGUAAGAACCUGUUUAAAAUGCUGGAUGUCUUUUCUUGCUAAAGGAGCUGACUCUUAGUUCUCUCCUUCAGCUCCUGGAGAUUGUGUAAUUAACUGGAGGAGGCUCAGAGGUAGAAGGAGGCUAAGAUACUAUCUAUUCUAGCCUCUCGUUUUGCAGUUGAGGCUGAAGUCCACAGAGGUUAAAUGACCUGGUUCUGAGUAACUGGUUGGACAGCUGUACCCAAGAGGUUCUGAUAAUGGAUUGUUGU